rnacentral:rRNA from 1 species
UGAGGAAUAUUGGUCAAUGGUCGGGAGACUGAACCAGCCAAGCCGCGUGAGGGAUGAAGGUACAGAGUAUCGUAAACCUCUUUGUCAGGGAACAAAAGGCGACCACAUGUGGCGCUCCGAGUGUACCUGAAGAAAAAGCAUCGGCUAACUCCGUGCCAGCAGCCGCGGUAAUACGGAGGAUGCGAGCGUUAUCCGGAUUUAUUGGGUUUAAAGGGUGCGUAGGCGGCGAGUUAAGUCAGCGGUAAAAGCCCGGGGCUCAACCCCGGCCCGCCGUUGAAACUGGCUUGCUUGAGUUGGAGAGAAGUAGGCGGAAUGCGCGGUGUAGCGGUGAAAUGCUUAGAUAUCGCGCAGAACUCCGAUUGCGAAGGCAGCCUACCGGCUUCACACUGACGCUGAGGCACGAAAGCGUGGGUAUCGAACAGGAUAGAUACC